AACGUAGGAGGCGAGCGUUAUCCGGAUUUACUGGGCGUAAAGCGCAUGCAGGCGGUUUUUUAAGUCGGACGUGAAAGCUCCUGGCCCAACUGGGAGAGGCCGUUCGAAACUAGAAAACUUGAGGAUGGUAGAGGAGAGUGGAAUUCCCGGUGUAGUGGUGAAAUGCGUAGAUAUCGGGAGGAACACCAGUGGCGAAGGCGGCUCUCUGGGCCAUUCCUGACGCUCAGAUGCGAAAGCUAGGGGAGAGAAC
rnacentral:rRNA from 1 species